GAUGAACGCUGGCGGUAUGCUUAACACAUGCAAGUCGAACGGAGUGCUUCGGCACUUAGUGGCGGACGGGUGAGUAACGCGUGAGAAUCUGGCUUCGGGUUCGGGACAACAGUGGGAAACUGCUGCUAAUACCGGAUGUGCCUAAGGGUAAAAGAUUAAUUGCCCGAAGAUGAGCUCGCGUCCGAUUAGCUAGUUGGUGUGGUAAGAGCGCACCAAGGCGUCGAUCGGUAGCUGGUCUGAGAGGACGAUCAGCCACACUGGGACUGAGACACGGCCCAGACUCCUACGGGAGGCAGCAGUGGGGAAUUUUCCGCAAUGGGCGAAAGCCUGAUGGAGCAAUACCGCGUGAGGGAGGAAGGCUCUUGGGUUGUAAACCUCUUUUCUCAGGGAAGAAAAAAAAUGACGGUACCUGAGGAAUCAGCAUCGGCUAACUCCGUGCCAGCCGCCGCCGUAACAC
rnacentral:rRNA from 1 species